UCAACUUGUUCUGUGGUACUAAAUCAAGAUCAUGGGAAAUUUUGGAACUUCUAGAUUUGCUCAAGUGUAGGCUUUGAACUUCUAGAUUUGCUGAAGGUAAUCAUUGGAAGCAAAGGAUUUUUUGUGGCUACUGCGUGGUCCCUGUUAAGAUGGAUGAUAUUUUUGGUAACAAAAAACUGCAGCCGGGUGUUAGAGAAAUGGAAAUCUUAUAUCGCUUGUGAGCUAGGGACCCUUUGAAGUUCUCCAAGAUGUGGAAGCUUACCCUAUAUCAGAAUCAUCCUUCUUACACAUUCACCAUCUAUUCUCAGCCCGGUUGACGUGGUAUAACUUUCACCCUCAUUCAAGUAGGCGGGCUCCGCUGGUUUUAUAUGUCCUUGGGUGGGUUUUGGUCUUAGACUUCUAGCGAGAGAGAAAAAUAAAAUGGUGCUCAAGUGAGAAAAUAGAAAAAUAGGGACCAACCUUCAUCUAUUUCCGGCAAAAGGAGAGUUUGUAAUUCUGUCUUUGGGAGAAUAAUCUCUAUUGUGUGAUAGUGAGAUUUGGGUGUAUUGAGACUUUGGGUUUUGAGUGAUUUUCCCUCUACUAUUUUGUACUCCGUCUUUUGAUAGUGAAUUUCAUUUGGAUCGUCUCCGCCAGUGGAUGUAGGCUUGUUAAGCCGAACCACUUAAAUCUUGGUGUCUUGUGUGAUUGAUUUUUUGGUAUCU